UUCCCCCUCAUUCCCCUCCCGCCACGGCCCUAGCUUCCUUCGCUGUGUGCCUGCGCCAUGCCUUCCUUCGCAGGUGCCUGCCUGCCUCCGCCCCUGCUCCCGCCUUCCCUCUUGACUGAUCGCUCCUGAUGUCGUUGCCCCACCCCUCCCUUCGCAUCUGCGGCAUUCCUGUCGACUUCCCUUACAAGCCCUAUGGCACGCAGUUGGCCUUCAUGGGCAAGGUCCUUGCUGCUCUCGAGCAAUCUCGCCACUCGCAUCGCUCUUGCAGUGUCAAUGCACUUCUGGAGUCUCCCACCGGCUCUGGCAAGACGCUCGCUCUUCUGUGUGCCACUCUGGCGUGGCAGAAACAAUUCCCCGCCUUGCCUCUUCUUCCUUCCGCUCCUGCUGAUCCCCUGCUUGCCGGCGGUGGCUUCAUUGUUGACGAACCUCUCUCUGGACGUCAGCUUGGGGGAGAAGACACUCCUGCUGUUAAAGCCCCGAUUGCAGGAAGGUCCAACACUCAGAAAUCCAAGAAUCGAAAAGUCCCGAUGAUUUACUAUGCUUCGAGGACUCACACUCAAAUCACUCAAGUGAUUCGUGAACUUCGGAAGACCAAGUAUCACGUAUCCAUGGCGGUUCUAGGUGCAAGGAAACAUUACUGCACGAACAAAAGUGUCGUACGCAAGAACAAUGUCGAUGAGGACUGUAAGCUGCUUAUGAAAGACGAGGAGCGUAGCUGUCCUCAUUUCAAAAAUGUCAUGAAGCUGAAAUCACAUCCAUCACUGCAAAAGGGAGGCGCAAAUAAUAUUCAUGAUAUUGAGGACCUUGUAGAGCUUGGUCACAAGGUGAAAGGCUGUGCAUACUUUGCAGCCAGAGCAUUAGCUACUGAGGCAGACAUAGUCUUUUGUCCAUAUAACUAUAUACUUGACCCUAUCAUCAGGAGUGCAAUGGAAGUUAACCUACAAGGAGCCAUUGUUGUGCUGGACGAAGCUCAUAACAUUGAGGAUGUGGCUCGCGAGGCAGGAAGCAUAGACCUGGAAACUAGUCUGCUGCAAGAUCUCCGGUUGGAGUUAGAGCAGCUCGCUACAUCAGACGAAACAUCUGACAUUUACUCCCCACUUUUAGAAAUGGUGCAGGCAUGGCUAGAUUGGAUAUAUCACCAAGAAAAGUGCCUUUCGAAGUUGGACUUUGAGCAUUAUGCAUCAAGCUGGAGAGGUUCUAAAGCAAUACAGGAGCUACGAUUGGCAGGGACGUGCCUGGAAACAUUUCAAGUCCUUCUUGAAUGCUCGAAGAAGGCAAUAGGAGCUGCUUCUAAUCCAGACGAAACAGUGAAUCAUUUGAGUGGGCGUGCUACGAUUGCAAUAGAAGGAUUAUUUUCUGCUCUCAAGUUCAUGCUGCAAGAAAAUGGACGUCGUGCUGGAGAUUACCAGUUGGUUGUGAGAAGAUUUGUCAAACGCGAUGAAGGUUUGGCAGUGACAGGAUGGGUUACAACUGUCAGUCUUUGGUGCUUAAACCCCGGCGUGGUUUUUGAGGACAUCGCGAGUGUAACUCGGUCUAUUAUUCUUACUUCGGGGACUUUGUCGCCUAUGGACUCUUUUGCAUCUGAGCUCGGCAUUCCAUUCGAAUUUCAAAUGGAGGCACCGCAUGUUGUUGACAUGGAAAAGCAGGUUUGGGCUGCUGCUGUUUCCACCGGACCAGACAACGUAUCAUUGAAUGCCAGUUAUAAAAAUGCCGAUGGCUAUUCUUUUCAGGAUGCUCUUGGGGUAGUGUUAGAGGAGGUAUUCAAGGUGGUGCCAGAUGGAGCUCUUACAUUUUUCCCAAGCUACAAGUUCCUGGACAAACUAUGUGCUCGCUGGAAGAGUACUGGGCAGUGGGGUCGUCUCUCCAGCGUGAAGGAGCUCUUUUUAGAACCUCGUGGAAACAACGACCAAUUUGAGUUGAUUUUACAAGAUUUUUAUAACUCUAUCAACUCAGAUAGGACACCUGGUAGGAACAGAAAAGUAGGUGUUGAGAAAAACCGAGAUGUGAAAACCCGGGGCACGCCACGGAGCACAGGCAGGAAAGCGGGUGGUGCGGCAUUUUUGGCUGUGUGCCGGGGAAAGGUCUCAGAGGGCAUUGAUUUCUCCGACAGGAAUGCUCGCAUUGUUGUAGUAGUCGGCAUCCCUUUCCCGAAUGUGAAGGACAUUCAAGUAACUCUGAAGAAGCAGUACAAUCAGGAAAAUCGUGUGAUUAAGAAACUGCUAAGCGGAGACGAAUGGUACUGUCAGCAAACAUUCCGUGCUCUGAAUCAGGCUGUAGGACGUUGCAUUCGCCACCGUAACGAUUAUGGUGCUAUACUUCUCUUAGAUGAUCGGUUCAAAAGGCCAGGAAAUAUUCAAUACAUGUCCAAAUGGUUACGAAAUUCUAUCAGACAAUAUGAGAGCUUCAGAGAUUCACUGGAUGGACUAAAGGAAUUUUUCAAGGGAUUCGAGUCAUCUUCUGACGUCACGCAAGAGUUAUGCAUAGUACCCACCGUUAAAUCUGACCUGGUAUCAUCUCGAAAAGCUAAACUCUCGAUCAUCUCAUCAACUAAAAAACCUGACAACCAGCCUAGUCUCAGAGGAUACAUCACGAAGGCCCGCAAACCCUCUAUUGAAGUUUCGUUUGAAGAAUCAAAUGCCAGAAUACCCACAUCAAAUGAGCAGACAAAUAAGGAGGAUUGGAGGAAAGCACCUGAAUUUCUUGCAGAGCAAAUCUCAAAUUAUUCAGUUGCGCAGACAAUCCAAGUUCCUGUAACGAUUGAGUCCGUCGAUCCUGAAAUAGCUCAACAAAAUGUUUUGGCAUCCGUCGUGUCCAACAAUGUUGGCAGAGACUAUAAAAUUAUGUCAUCGCGGAUUAAUACUGCUUUCAAGGCUAUGGAAAAUGAUCCGGAGCAUAGAGGACAUGGCAACUCUUUAGGAAUCGAGAGCGGGCUUGAAAUUCUUACUCCUAUCCAGUCUUCUAGGAUAGAUGCUGCAGCAAUGACUUCAUCUGAAAAGGCCUUAGAUCUUGUCAAUUGUGAAGAAAUACCUAGUGCGGAUAAUCUUUUUGUCGAAAGUUCACUCAAUUGUCUUGGCCAGAACAGUGUCAAGCAUUCCCUCAAGCGGAAGAUGGAUCUCAGAAAUGAAGAUAUAUCUUUAGACAUGUCUGCCAACUCGCUCAAGGGGUCUCAUUCCCUUCCGCAAGGAUCCCCUGCUCAAUUAGGUUGUAGGCCUUGUGAGGAUAUCAAAUCUCACUAUAGAUUUCAAGUUGGGGGUUCAGCCGGUUCAUUAGAUAAAAGCAUAUUUGAUAGACCUCAUGGGCAAUGUAUCUGUGAUAGUCACUCAGAGGGGACCCUUGCGUGCCUAGUGGAGUCGAGUCCAUGUUUCUCAAAGAUGGACUUAAUCCACGCUUGUAGUCAUGAAGUCGCCCGACAGCAGGAAGUUUUUGAGGCUGGAGGAAAGAAUGUGAAGGUGCAGUGCAGUAGCCCUUUGUCAGCUGUAAACAAAGGCUUCCAGCAUGGCGAAAGGUCUACGGAGAUCAAUCUAAGGGUGGAUUCUGAAUUAACUGCAUCUGGUAGCGGCGAAGCCCAAAAUGAUUUGAACGUUGCCAUACUAUGCGGGAGGUGUUUCCACCAUUUGAGUCACUAUGCGAAAGUUGUUUAUGAAACCUUCAACAAGUCGUAUCUGGCCACAAUCCACCGUGGUGAUAACCAUAGAACUAACAUUCCUAUGCUUUUGAUGGAAUAUCAUAAUCUUCAAGCGUCAGUCAAAGAGAAACUCUACUCAUCUAGUUCUCGAGGAUCGGAUUCAUCCUAUGAUGCCAACAUAAACGUUUCUCCAAAUGUUGGAGUGUGGAUAAGAGAAGACGGAUGUGUAUACGAGCACAUAUUUUGUCCAAGUUGUGAGGAUCAGAGCAUCUGUGUUGGUGUUCAUGUCGUUGCUUGUGAUAAGGUGAAUUUGUCGUUAAUGGAUAAGGCUUCUAUUGAAGACCAGUAGUUAUUGUGCAAAUAGAAACCUUGGAGACUGGAGAUCCCUACUGACGUUGCGUGAACUUUAGGUAGUUUUCUUUGAGGAGUAUGUCAAGGUGAAUCGCAUGUGUCAAAAGCAGAAGAUGCAACAGGUCUUUAUCCGCUGAUUUAUAAUUUGUUACGUCUCACAUGAUUUUGUAAUAUGGGCUAAAAGGUUGAGAUGUUGAAAAUCCUUUGCGUUUGAAGCUAAUAUACCGAUAGUCAGUCUCUUCACCAUUUACUCCAGCUAAAUACUAGCUUUUGGACCCUGCUGCUUCAAGCACUACUUAGAGGUACUAAUUCUAGGCAUGCUGGUUUCUUUGUGCUGAUGGAAUAAGAAUUAUCUGGUGACGACUAACUGGUUUGAUUUCUUUUUCUCGCUACAAUUUCAGAGUCAAGAACACCAAGCUCAGCUAUCAACAUACUCUAAUUCCUCCGAAAAUGUAAAGACUCGAAUCACUACCCCAGCAAAAGCGAAGCUAAAGCUCCAAAGAACCAAGUUAUGAGUGACAAAUGUCGCAUAUGAUGCAAGCAUGAUAAAACGGACCGUGACAAUAUGGGGAUGGCAUAUCAUCAUCACACCGGGAAAUUACAAAUCAUAUAUGUAGCGGUAUAUCGCGAAAUUUUAGAGGUAUUUGUCUACGAGUUCGCUGGUUUGUUGGAUGUUAGAUAUUUACCAACGUUCAUGCCAGAUAAUCAUUGUCGCUCUAUAAUUUAUCAUCGUAUUCUAUACGAAAGAAAAAAUUCAAAAAAUGUACGUGAUAUUUGAGGGUUAUCUCUUAGGAUAUAUGUAUUUUGUUGGAAAAUUUAAGAUUUUAGUCAAGUGAAUCAAUUUCUUUUGAAA